rnacentral:rRNA from 1 species
CCUACGGGAGGCAGCAGUGAGGAAUAUUGGUCAAUGGACGAGAGUCUGAACCAGCCAAGUCGCGUGAAGGAUGACUGCCCUACGGGUUGUAAACUUCUUUUAUAUGGGAAUAAAAUGUUCCACGUGUGGGAUUAUGUAUGUAACAUAUGAAUAAGGCUCGGCUAAAUCCGUGCCAUCCGCCGCGGUAAUACGGAGGAUCCGAGCGUUUAACGGAUUUUUUUGGUUUAAAGGGAGCGUAGGUCGAUUGUUAAGUCAGUUGUGAAAGUUUGCGGCUCAACCGUAGAAUUGCAGUUGAAACUGGCAGUCUUGAGUACAGUAGAGGUGGGCGGAAUGCGUGGUGUAGCGGUGAAAUGCUUAGAUAUCACGAAGAACUCCGAUUGCGAAGGCAGCUCACUGGACUGCAACUGACACUGAGGCUCGAAAGUGUGGGUAUCAAACAGGAUUAGAUACCCUAGUAGUC